rnacentral:tRNA from 13 species
AGCCACCAGCGAGAUCUGAACUCGGACCCCUGGUUUACGAGACCAGUGCUCUAACCUCUGAGCUAUGGUGGC